rnacentral:rRNA from 1 species
CCUACGGGUCGCACCAGUGGGGAAUAUUGCACAAUGGAGGAAACUCUGAUGCAGCAACGCCGCGUGGAGGAUGACGCAUUUCGGUGUGUAAACUCCUUUUAUAUAGGAAGAUAAUGACGGUACUAUAUGAAUAAGCACCGGCUAACUCCGUGCCAGCAGCCGCGGUAAUACGGAGGGUGCAAGCGUUACUCGGAAUCACUGGGCGUAAAGCGCGCGCAGGCGGUUUGAUAAGUUGGAUGUGAAAGCCUACGGCUCAACCGUAGAACUGCAUCCAAAACUGUCAAACUAGAGUGUGGGAGAGGAAGAUGGAAUUAGUUGUGUAGGGGUAAAAUCCGUAGAGAUAACUAGGAAUACCAAAAGCGAAGGCAAUCUUCUGGAACGUUACUGACGCUGAGGCGCGAAAGCGUGGGGAGCAAACAGGAUUAGAUACCCGUGUAGUC